AAGACAGCAAACUGCCAGUGUGCUUAACAGCAAAAACGAUCAAAAGCGGGGACACAGGUGGCUGGUGAACUUUCAUUGCGAAGCACGGCAAAACAGACAUGUAGGAGGCACGACGAAGACUCAUGACAAGGCCCUUGGUCACUCUCACCCCUGCUCUUCUCACGUGGACGAUGAGAGCGUCUCUGAGACACAGGAGCCAUCUUGACAGUCCGCUGUGGUCCAGAAAAUGCUGUCACUUGUGUGGAAAACAAGCCAAGUAUCGUGGACACUGCUUGCGGCCUGUGGAAGUGAAUUACUUCGCGAAUCUGAACGGCCUGGACAUUGGGAACCACACAUGUAUCCAGUGUCCACUGGGUGGGCGUCAGGAGGCUGGACCGGGAAGGUGCA